rnacentral:rRNA from 1 species
GGCGGACGGGUGAGUAACGCGUGAGGAACCUGCCUUUCAGAGGGGGACAACAGUUGGAAACGACUGCUAAUACCGCAUGACACAUUGAAGUCGCAUGGCUUUGAUGUCAAAGAUUUAUCGCUGAAAGAUGGCCUCGCGUCUGAUUAGCUAGUUGGUGAGGUAACGGCCCACCAAGGCGACGAUCAGUAGCCGGACUGAGAGGUUGAACGGCCACAUUGGGACUGAGAUACGGCCCAGACUCCUACGGGAGGCAGCAGUGGGGAAUAUUGGGCAAUGGGCGCAAGCCUGACCCAGCAACGCCGCGUGAAGGAAGAAGGCUUUCGGGUUGUAAACUUCUUUUGUCAGGGACGAGCAGAAGACGGUACCUGACGAAUAAGCCACGGCUAACUACGUGCCAGCAGCCGCGGUAAUACGUAGGUGGCAAGCGUUGUCCGGAUUUACUGGGUGUAAAGGGCGUGUAGCCGGGAGGGCAAGUCAGAUGUGAAAUCCACGGGCUCAACUCGUGAACUGCAUUUGAAACUACUCUUCUUGAGUAUCGGAGAGGCAAUCGGAAUUCCUAGUGUAGCGGUGAAAUGCGUA